rnacentral:piRNA from 1 species
UGAUUGCUGAGUUUAGCCUCACGGGUACGC